CAAGUGCAGAAAAAAGAGAAGCACCUUCAACACCAGAUCAUCAUUUACGAAAAAAAGACUCAUGACAACUGGCUCAGGACUUGUGCCGUGGACAGAGCAGUGGCAGAAGAAAUGAGGGAGGCCACCUACUUGAAGGAACGUUUGGCAAUAAUGCAAUAUUGAAAGCUGCCCAAGGGACACAGGCUGCACCCAGCACCAGGGGGAUCCGGCAUGGACAAGCCUGCA